CACCGCCGCACCCUUUCUUCUCUCAUUGAUCCACAUCCUUGCCCCAAAGAUGGCAUCUCUUUUUCGGUGCAAAUGUUUGGUGUUAUUCACCGAUCUCACAUCACAAACGGGUCUGGUGCUAAUCAUUUUGGAGCAGACUAUAGCAUGUUGAUUGUUCAUGGCAUUUCAAGGGCUCAAUUGAGAAAGGCUUGGUAUAUCUCAAACGUCUCGAUGAAACCUGCGGUUGGUGGUGUGUGAGGUCGUUAGGUACAUCAGUGCAUAGAAACUUGUAGUCUGAGGAGCUUGAAGUGUCAUGUUGCGUGUUGUUUGAUGAGAACAUUUAAUAUUAUUGUUAGGAUUUGAGUUUGACUUGAUUGUGUUAUUUUAAUUAAGUUGGUAAAUGGAAGAAGAUAAAACAGAGAAUAAUUGCAGCAGAAAUGAAUGUAAAACUUUAUUACACAA